AUUUUGCACAAUGGGGGCAACCCUGAUCCAGCCAUCCCGCGUGUGCGAUGAAGGCCUNNNGGUUGNAAAGCACUUUUGGCAGGNGAGNAAAGGCGCUGGCUAAUACCUGGAGCUGCUGACGGUACCUGCAGAAUAAGCACCGGCUAACUACGUGCCAGCAGCCGCGGUAAUACGUAGGGUGCAAGCGUUAAUCGGAAUUACUGGGCGUAAAGCGUGCGCAGGCGGUUCGGCAAGAAGGAUGUGAAAUCCCAGGGCUUAACCUUGGAACUGCAUUCUUAACUGCCGGGCUAGAGUAUGUCAGAGGGGGGUAGAAUUCCGCGUGUAGCAGUGAAAUGCGUAGAGAUGCGGAGGAAUACCGAUGGCGAAGGCAGCCCCCUGGGAUAAUACUGACGCUCAUGCACGAAAGCGUGGGGAGCAAAC
rnacentral:rRNA from 1 species